rnacentral:rRNA from 1 species
GUCAACUAGCUGUUGGGGGUUUGAAUCCUUGGUAGCGUAGCUAACGCGUGAAAUUGACCGCCUGGGGAGUACGGCCGCAAGGUUAAAACUCAAAGGAAUUGACGGGGACCCGCACAAGCGGUGGAUGAUGUGGAUUAAUUCGAUGCAACGCGAAAAACCUUACCUGCUCUUGACAUGUACGGAACUUGGUAGAGAUAUCUUGGUGCCCGAAAGGGAGCCGUAACACAGGUGCUGCAUGGCUGUCGUCAGCUCGUGUCGUGAGAUGUUGGGUUAAGUCCCGCAACGAGCGCAACCCUUGUCAUUAGUUGCCAUCAUUCAGUUGGGCACUCUAAUGAGACUGCCGGUGACAAACCGGAGGAAGGUGGGGAUGACGUCAAGUCCUCAUGGCCCUUAUGAGCAGGGCUUCACACGUCAUACAAUGGUCGGUACAGAGGGUUGCCAAGCCGCGAGGU